GGGCGUAUGGUCUAGUGGUAUGACGCCUCAUUUGCAAUGGUAACAUUGAAAGUUGAGGAGGUCCCGGGUUCAAUCCCCGGUCCGUCCA